CCUACGGGUGGCAGCAGUGAGGAAUAUUGGUCAAUGGGCGAGAGCCUGAACCAGCCAAGUCGCGUGAGGGAGUACUGCCCUAUGGGUUGUAAACCUCUUUUGUCGGGGAGCAAAAGCCGGACGUGUCCGGCUGUGAGAGUACCAGAAGACAAAGCAUCGGCUAACUCCGUGCCAGCAGCCGCGGUAAUACGGAGGAUGCGAGCGUUAUCCGGAUUUAUGGGGUGUAAAGGGUGCGCAGGCGGAUUUUUAAGUCAGCGGUGAAAUCGGGGGGCUCAACCCCAUCCAGCCGUUGAAACUGGGGAUCUAGAGUGUGCGAGAGGUAUGCGGAAUGCGUGGUGUAGCGGUGAAAUGCAUAGAUAUCACGCAGAACCCCGAUUGCGAAGGCAGCAUACCGGUGCACAACUGACGCUCAGGCACGAAAGCGUGGGUAUCGAACAGGAUUAGAUACCCCAGUAGUC
rnacentral:rRNA from 1 species